rnacentral:tRNA from 1 species
GUGGGACUAGCUCAAUGGUAGAGUGUGUGCCUAGCAUGCAUGAGGUCUUGGGUUCAAUCCCCAGUAUCGCC